GUGUGUGUGUGUGUGUGUGUGUGCGUGCGUCUAUGUGGUAUGGAUGGACAUUUGACCUGACGCUGUACCUGGGCUACAGGGACAUUUCGACUUUUUGCUGUGUAUUCAUGUGUCCCCCUAAAACAUGAAUUGUAAAUGCAUUUUUAAGUGUCUAAAUAAUAAUUUUUUCUACUUCUUAUGAGGUCAUUAUUUAUCUUUUGACCUGUAUUUGCUUAAACUGUAGUGUAAAUUCAUUUAUUAAACUAUAAUUAAAAGAUUUUCUGAUUUUCUUAAAAGUCCACCUAUACCACUCACCUGAUUUUUGUGUAUUCCAGUUUAUUGCACAGCGACGUUUCGAGUUAGAGUGGAUGUGUGUAAGUACUACAAUUUAAUACACAUUUUCAAUACACAGGGCCAGAAGUCAUUGUGAUUGGUAGGCUAUAUAUAUAGGCGGUACCUACCGGAAACGAUUUCGCGCGCGUGCCCUUUAACAAGUACAUGUCGACGGCAAUACGAAGACUGAUUAAAAGCACAAAGGCAAUCAAAACGUACAGGAGAACAUGCGAAGGAGACGCAUUCCUCCACGGGAGGAUGCAGUCUGUCAUGUUUCUGCUGGAAGGGACAAACUGGGACUUGAUAUCCACUACAUAAAUGCCUUCAAAGGUCGGGGCAUUUUCACGACUGUUCCAUUCCAAAAAGGAGACUUCCUUUUGGAAUACAGAGGUAAACUCAUAACAAAAGAAGAAUGUGAGCGGAGACAGAGUUUAUCAUGACAGCCUGAAGGUGUUCAUGUUUGAAUUCAAGUUUGAUGGAAAACUCUGGUGUGUGGAUGCAUCUCAAGAAGAUGGGUCAUUAGGCAGACUUGUCAACGACAACCACAUCAGUCCAAGUGCUAAGAUGAAAAUAUUAAAUAUCAAUGGAAAGCCCCAUCUAUGCUUAUUUGCAAGCAG